CCUUCGAUAGCUCAGUUGGUAGAGCGGAGGACUGUAGAGGCGUCUGCCAGGUAUCCUUAGGUCGCUGGUUCGAAUCCGGCUCGAAGGA
rfam:Xiphophorus maculatus strain JP 163 A Contig1534.3, whole genome shotgun sequence.